AGGAAGCUAGUCUAACCAAGACAGUUGAUUUCGGCUCAACAGAUUAUAGUUACACCCUAUAGCUUCCUU
rnacentral:tRNA from 2 species